rnacentral:misc_RNA from 1 species
AACGCACCUUGCACCCUCUGGUAUUCCGGAGGGUAUGCCUGUCUGAGUGUCUAUAACAAUCUCGUCCCAAGGGGUAACCUGAGGGGUCGGAGUUGGGUGCUGCCUCGCAUGAGGCUCGCCUCAAAUGGAUCGGUGGCGGAACGCCCCAACCUCGCGUGAUACGUUUCGCUUGGGUGGGUGUCGGGAAGCUUCCUUGAAACCGCCACGCCCUGCGUGGAUCUAAAGGUUGACCUCAGAUCAGGUAGGACUACCCGCUGAACUUAA